rnacentral:lncRNA from 1 species
UGUGACAGAGGUUUGUUUAGGUUUCUAAAUACUUUACUAAGAAAUUGCUAAAGAAAACUACAUCUGUAUGGUUGGGAUCUCUUGACUGAAAGUCACAAUCAUAGUAAAAUGCAAGUGUUACUAUGUAGUAGAGAAUCUUCAGAUAGGGAAGAGGAAUAUGAUGUGCUAAUUAGUAUAAGAUAAAGCCAACUAUUAGCAGUUUGGUCUUUUCUGUGUCAAGUGACACCAGUGGUGGAGAGAAAAAUUCAACUUCCAGUUAAGCAGGAAAGACAGAAAGACUGUGUGCUAACCUUAGAAGUGGAAGAAAAAAUACUUGGAAUAUUAUAGAAGAGCGUGUUCUUUUGGAGAAAAAACUAGGACAUGCCUAUGUCCCAUCUUGCCCCCACCUGCCUUGCUCCAUGCGUGAGUAUAUACUGUAGAAUACUUGGAACCAGUUCAGUUCCACUGAACCACCUGACUGUGAUUUGCUCAAGUCAAUAG